rnacentral:rRNA from 1 species
CAGUCGCCGCGGUAAUACGUAGGUGGCAAGCGUUGUCCGGAAUUAUUGGGCGUAAAGGGCUCGCAGGCGGUUUCUUAAGUCUGAUGUGAAAGCCCCCGGCUCAACCGGGGAGGGUCAUUGGAAACUGGGAAACUUGAGUGCAGAAGAGGAGAGUGGAAUUCCACGUGUAGCGGUGAAAUGCGUAGAGAUGUGGAGGAACACCAGUGGCGAAGGCGACUCUCUGGUCUGUAACUGACGCUGAGGGGCGAAAGCGUGGGGAGCGAACAGGAUUAGAUACCCGCGUAGUCCCUGUCUCUUAUAC